AAAAUUAAAUAAAUUAAAUAAAACAUUAAGGAAAGUAAAAAUAUUUUUUUGGUAUUUUUAUGAAUAAAUAAAAUAUUUUUAUGAAUUAAAAACAAAAACAGCAAAAUAAAAUAAGAAUAACAAAAUAAAAAUGAAAAUGAAUGGAUUAUGUGAGUGGGCCUUGAGGUGGUGCGGAUAGCUGCCAGCGAGCCCAACCCAGGAUACAUCAACGUGUGACAAAAAAAAGAAAGUAAAUUUAAUUAAAUUAUGUAAACGUUGCCUCAAUUGGUCAGGGCCAACUUAAAC
rnacentral:lncRNA from 1 species